rnacentral:lncRNA from 1 species
AUCUGAUUGGCCACUGGCCAGCCAAUGGUGGAUCAGACUUUGGAGCAGGUGAUCCUUGGACGCCCACAGUACAUCACCUUCAUGAGCGCAUCAGUGAACACCAGUCUAAGGAAGACAUCUCUGAACGUAAUUUUGGAGAUUUUGAUGAGUUCCAUUGAAACAAGGAGGAAUGUGAUGUCCAGUAUCAGUUCUGCAGACCCAAGGACAAAGAAAAUUCUGUGAUAAACUCAUCCAGUGUGACUGUAAUGUGGGUAUCUAUUUGAUACCUCCAAGUAACUGUUUAUUCUUGUGCCAGUUGAGUAGAUGGUACGGGCCAGUUGGUGUUGAUUAGUGAACCACGGACAAAGGGCAUAUGUCACAUGAGUUGCUCCUGGAUAAAGUCACCCAGUCACUUCCUGAUGAAUAUCCUGCAUAAACUCCAAAGACAAAAGAGAGUUAAGGUUGUUUUUCUCACCUUAGACCAGGCAGUGAUAGAAGAACUGGGGGAAGAGAUAAUUGUAUUUAUCUUGGUGAGGGUGACAAAUCAUGGCAAAUGAGCAAAAUGAAAAAGGAUACAAGACACCGGACUUUCAAAUCAACAAUUGUUUCAAAAGACUCCUACUGGAUUCCUGCUAGUGAUGGGAGAAAAUUAUCAUUCUAUGAAAAGAAUAUGUCUAAGAUCCUGUUAACAGCAGAACUUAGACUGCUAGUGAGUUCUCUUAACUAUCUCCAAUAAAGGUUAUUUGAACCACUCUGGUGUAUUUAAAAAUAUGAUUUAUGUAAAGUGUGCAAGAUAUUUUUAGUUGACACACAAACAAGAGAAAGCCACAUGAGCUGAGGCUAUGCAGGGUGUUGGGCCAAGGGGAGGAGGGCAGGGUGGAAUGGGAGAGGCUCAUUGAUAAUCAGCAUGUGCGUUUUUUUUUCUGGCUUCUAGGCCCUGCUGGAAAUUUUCCAUGCUCUUCAUUCGUUCUCCUGUAUUUCCUAACGCCAAUAAAAGAGGAGAUCCCUGAGGACACGCCUCUCUUUAAUAUCUGCUUUCCUUGCAAAGAUAAGCCAAAGACCAAUGUAUGUCGUAUCUGCCCCCUUCAGCCUUUGGGACACAAUUUUGAUAAACCUUCCUCUAUUUCACAUUAACAGAAAAUGUCACUUCUCCCUUCCUAAUCUCCAAUGCAAACCUAACAUUUUAGCCCAACGUUUCUCAUGCUUGCACAAGCCAGCUUUUAAAUUCUGCUCAAUUCCAAUUUAAGAGUAGGCAUUGUGCUAGACAUUUAUAGCCCAAGAUCUGUAAGCAAAUAUAAUUCUGUGGACUAAGAAAGCUAACAUUUAAAGAACGGAAAGAGUUUUUUAUUUAAAAAAAAAACGCGAAUCACUAUCACUGCCUUUAUUAAUUCUCUAAGUACAAGCUGUUGUAAAUCUUCUCAGUGUUAGAUCCCACUGGAGAGUGAUUCAUCAUAUUGCACAUAAGCUCACUCCAGGCUGAAAUCAUAUCUAUAACGCAAGGGUGAUUAUGGUUGAACACUGGGCACCAAGAGGCUCUCUAGGAGUGCAGAAUGGAAUAUGGAAAAAGCACAUCCAAAGCACUGAGGGCUUUCUGAAUUGAUGGAUUUUUAAAAAAAUAAUUAAAACUAAGAUGGAGACUGG